GACGAACGCUGGCGGUGUGCUUAACACAUGCAAGUCGAACGGUAAGGCCCUUUCGGGGGUACACGAGUGGCGAACGGGUGAGUAACACGUGAGUAACCUGCCCUCAUCUCUGGGAUAACAGUCGGAAACGGUUGCUAAUACUGGCUAUGAGCUUGCAAGGCAUCUUGUGGGUUGGAAAGAUUUUUUUGGUUGGGGAUGGACUCGCGGCCUAUCAGCUUGUUGGUGAGGUAGUGGCUCACCAAGGCUUCGACGGGUAGCCGGUCUGAGAGGGCGACCGGCCACAUUGGGACUGAGAUACGGCCCAAACUCCUACGGGAGGCAGCAGUGGGGAAUAUUGCACAAUGGACGGAAGUCUGAUGCAGCAACGCCGCGUGCGGGAUGACGGCCUUCGGGUUGUAAACCGCUUUCAAUUGUGACGAAGCUUUUUGUGACGGUAGCAGUAGAAGAAGCACCGGCUAACUACGUG
rnacentral:rRNA from 1 species